rnacentral:rRNA from 1 species
CAUUGGGUUCUGAGCAAACCUAAAGGCGCAGUGAAAGCAAGAGCAUCCUGGGCUUGUCCCAGGACCUUCGAGACGAUGGAGGUGACCCGAUGUUGGCCCUCCCGCAGUCUCGGGGCGAUCCGUGCCGCCUCGCGGCUGCGAUCGCACCUGGAGCGCACGUGUUGGGACCCGAAAGAUGGUGAACUAUGCCUGGUCAGGACGAAGUCAGGGGAAACCCUGAUGGAAGUCCGAAGCGCUUCUGACGUGCAAAUCGAUCGUCCGAGCUGGGUAUAGGGGCGAAAGACCAAUCGAAUCAUCUAGUAGCUGGUUCCCUCCGAAGUUUCCCUCAGGAUAGCUGGCGCUCGGGGACUUCUGAGGAAUGUCGCCCGGUAAAGCCAACGAUUAGAGGAAUCGGGGCCGAGAAGGCCUCGACCUAUUCUCGAACUGUAAAUGGACGAGGUAUCCCCCUCUCUCUAGUGGAGGCGGGGCCCUCRAGCAUCAGUGAGCGCCAAGUGGGCCACUUUUG